rnacentral:rRNA from 1 species
UCUGGUGCCCAUAGCGUCUUGGCCCCACCCCUUCCCAUCCCGAACAGGACCGUGAAACAGGACCGCGCCAAUGAUAGUAGGCUCCCCGCCCGCGAAAGUAGGUCAGCACCAGAC